rnacentral:rRNA from 1 species
CAACUUUCAACAAUGGAUCUCUUGGCUCUCGCAUCGAUGAAGGACGCAGCGAAAUGCGAUAAGUAAUGUGAAUUGCAGAAUUCAGUGAAUCAUCGAAUCUUUGAACGCACCUUGCGCUCCUUGGUCCUUUGAGGAGCAUGCCUGUUUGAGUGUCAUUA